GGCCUGAUGGUCUAGUAGUAUGAUUCUCCCUUCGGGCGGUUUGCUCGCAGCGUGAAGUUGUAAAAUUGGGAGAGGUCCCGGGUUCAAUUCCCGGUCAGGCCC
rnacentral:tRNA from 1 species